UACGUAGGGGGCUAGCGUUGUCCGGAAUCAUUGGGCGUAAAGAGCGUGUAGGCGGCCCGGUAAGUCCGCUGUGAAAGUCGGGGGCUCAACCCUUGAAUGCCGGUGGAUACUGUCGGGCUAGAGUCCGGAAGAGGCGAGUGGAAUUCCUGGUGUAGCGGUGAAAUGCGCAGAUAUCAGGAGGAACACCGAUGGCGAAGGCAGCUCGCUGGGACGGUACUGACGCUGAGGCGCGAAAGCGUGGGGAGCAAACAGG
rnacentral:rRNA from 1 species